UACGGAGGGGGUUAGCGUUGUUCGGAAUUACUGGGCGUAAAGCGCACGUAGGCGGAUCAGAAAGUUGGGGGUGAAAUCCCGGGGCUCAACCCCGGAACUGCCUCCAAAACUCCUGGUCUUGAGUUCGAGAGAGGUGAGUGGAAUUCCGAGUGUAGAGGUGAAAUUCGUAGAUGAUUCGGUAGGGAAAGCACCAUGGCGAAGGCGGCUCACUGGCUCGAUACUGACGCUGAGGUGCGAAAGUGUGGGGAGCAAACAGGAUUAGAUACCCCUGUAGUCC
rnacentral:rRNA from 1 species